UUACGCGUUAAACCCUUCCCUGAUCAGCUGUAUCUACUGUUUUUGUUUUUCUCGGGUCACCGGCAGCCUCGCUAUCGUGUUUACGCGGUUACUAAUCCAAUAUGGCGACGGUAACUAUAUAAAAAGGACUAUUUUGCGAAGCGGUAAUGGCGGAUCGAAGGAGACCUAAUUACUACAGCGCAGAAGAGGCCACGAUGCUUUUUUUGGGGAGAAAAUGAGAUGAGGAAGCUGAAUUGGAACACCACCUUCAAGUUUUUAGCGAAGAACCGAGCCAAAUUUGGAGGAUGGCUUCUCAAUAUGAUGAAGAACAUUUUACUUCAGUGUCAUUUCCUAUUUAUUCAAUAAAAUCAUGUCUGGAAUCCCA